rnacentral:lncRNA from 1 species
CCGAGUGUUGGUUUAGUCAAUGCGAAAGUCCUCCUCCGUUCCUCGACGAAACCAGACACUACCAAGCUCAAAAAGGCGAAGAAAAUCCCGGUUCCUAUCCUUUGCAAGAGCGUGAUCCCGGUGUCUAUACCGGUGAUUCUUCUCAAGGUAGGCACGAGGACGCGGUCGUAGAUUAUGAUGAAAACAGUCAUUCCUGUCAUCAAGAAGACCACAUAGGUGGCUGCAGGGAUCACAAACCCUCCAGAGCCUAAGCGACGAUCGCUCUGGAGGGCUUGAAAGACAGGAUAGGUCAUCUGUUGCGUGAUGGUCAAGUAAUAGAUCGAUGAAGCAAACCAUAUAGGAAGCACUCUCACAAUGCACUUCACUUCUUCAACUUGUUGCAUUGUACAUAGCUUCCAUGGAUCCGUAGGCUUACCAUCAGCAUCCAACUUGUCUUCAGGAGCCAAGAUCGCCGCCUUAUCAAGAAACCUACCAAAAACAGAAAGCUUGCUUUCUAAGUAAACAAAAGUGGAAAGAUAUUAUUUAUAACCGUGUGUCUUUACCUGAACUGGUCGGUGUACUUGAGCUUAGAGUUUGCGUAGUUUAGUGGGUAGUAAUUGUAAAGGUUAACCCAAGGCUGCUUCACAGCCUUUAACCCACGUUUCUUGAUAGCAACCGUUAUAACUUGAGCUAUACUAGCCAAUGGACUACCUGAGGCUUUGAUCUUGACAUACAACUUAUCACCCGCAAAGAAGAUCAGGUCUAAAAGCUUCCAGAAGAUGAGAAACCACAUGAUCAUUAGACUUUGUUCUUGUCUUGUUGUUUGAUCACAUCUCCAUUUGUUUCAUAAGCUGUCACUUCAUCAUCACUUCCUUUGUACCUAUACCAUCUUGACAUCACCAAGAAGUAAGCAAAAUUAACCGCCAAGAUUCCAGCGAUCAUGAAGUAAAACAAAUCCAAUCUUCCUUUGUUCAAAUCUUCAGCCAACCAGUUACCGCCAGCCGAGUUCUGCGUCGUCCUGUGUACCGUUGCAAUCAAGAAGCUGCCGAGGUAACUAGAAACUCCUCCUCCCACAUAGAAGAUGGAGCCGGCGAAACUCCUCAUGUUCUCGGGGAACUGCUUGUAGUAAAACUCCAUCUGUCCAAUAGCUCCAAAUGCCUCGGCUACACCCGCGAGUGUGAGCUGCGGUAUCAGCCACAUAGCUGACAUUGAGGAGAUUUCUCCCUUCCGUGGCGCCAUACCGAGUGUUGGUUUAGUCAAUGCGAAAGUCCUCCUCCGUUCCUCGACGAAACCAGACACUACCAAGCUCAAAAAGGCGAAGAAAAUCCCGGUUCCUAUCCUUUGCAAGAGCGUGAUCCCGGUGUCUAUACCGGUGAUUCUUCUCAAGGUAGGCACGAGGACGCGGUCGUAGAUUAUGAUGAAAACAGUCAUUCCUGUCAUCAAGAAGACCACAUAGGUGGCUGCAGGGAUCACAAACCCUCCAGAGCCUAAGCGACGAUCGCUCUGGAGGGCUUGAAAGACAGGAUAGGUCAUCUGUUGCGUGAUGGUCAAGUAAUAGAUCGAUGAAGCAAACCAUAUAGGAAGCACUCUCACAAUGCACUUCACUUCUUCAACUUGUUGCAUUGUACAUAGCUUCCAUGGAUCCGUAGGCUUACCAUCAGCAUCCAACUUGUCUUCAGGAGCCAAGAUCGCCGCCUUAUCAAGAAACCUACCAAAAACAGAAAGCUUGCUUUCUAAGUAAACAAAAGUGGAAAGAUAUUAUUUAUAACCGUGUGUCUUUACCUGAACUGGUCGGUGUACUUGAGCUUAGAGUUUGCGUAGUUUAGUGGGUAGUAAUUGUAAAGGUUAACCCAAGGCUGCUUCACAGCCUUUAACCCACGUUUCUUGAUAGCAACCGUUAUAACUUGAGCUAUACUAGCCAAUGGACUACCUGAGGCUUUGAUCUUGACAUACAACUUAUCACCCGCAAAGAAGAUCACGCAGGCCAAGAACAUUAACACGACAGGUAUGGUUAAACCGAUGGUCCAACUGACGUUAGACUGGAUGUAGACAACUAGUGUCAGCGACAAGAUCUGCGCGAACGUGAAGGUGAAGAAGUACCAGUUAAAGAAACUAUCAAUCCCUCUCUUCCCUGACUCGCUUUUAGGGUUAAACUGAUCAGCUCCAAAAGCAAGAUUACACGGUCUAAUCCCACCUGCUCCCACCACAAGAAAGGCAAGACCCAUUAGUAGAAAGGCUAUCUGGCCACCACUUGGGCCUGUACACGUGAGGGCUGUUCCGCAUGGAGCUGGAUGCAGUUGUGGUACUGCAGCAGUUAAUAGUAUCACAAGUGAUCCCUACCAAAACAAGAAUCAGAUUUUUUUUUUUUAGGUUUAUAAACCAAGAUUGCUUGUGGAGGAAGAAAAGGUUAUAGAGGAUGGAUUAUUACAAGAAAACAUGCGAUGACCGCGACGGUUAGUGUCUUGUAACGACCGAAGUAAGUGUCGCAAAGGAAGGCGGCAACGAAGGUUCCGAAGUUGAUUGUGCCACUAAAGGCGUUGAUGAUUGUUGCGGCUGUGAUACUCUUCAUGUUGAAGACAGCAGUUAAGUAAACCAGAAGGUUUGAUAGUGUUCCAAUGAUCCCAAGCUUCUCAAAUGUCUCGUUUCCUGGUAAUAACAACAUGCAAGAAGAAAAGAUCAUAAGACUUUGACCUUAGCAACCAAACGAAGAAUCAAACAAGAGAUUCUUGAUCAUUUAUGUGUUCUGAAACAUCUUCAAACUCAAGAUCUCACUCUUUUGGGUUAAAUUACUGUUUGACUAAGUCAAAGCUUAAGACAACAACACAAAGAAUCUCACCAAUAAUAAAAUCAAACCAACAAAAUAUAGUUUCUAGAAACAGAGAAGAAAAUUGUCAAAAUUUAAUUACAGGAAAUUUCUAGAAAUAUAGUUUCUAAAACUUUGGAAAUAUACCAAUCAAAGAAAAUGAUAUAUAUUUUUUUUAUCAAAAAUUUAUAUUUUUUAUAUGUUUAAAACAUAUGCGUUACCUAUGAUGAAAGGCAUGACUUUCCAGCCUCUAUAAACGAGUUUGGUUUCCUGAACUUCUUCUUCAACAGAAUCAACCGCCGUAGCAGAGCCGUCGUACACGGCGGAGGAAGGUUUCUGAUGAUCGGUGGACUCAACUUCCAGAGGCUUUCUCUCCAUUUUGCUACUACUGAAGCAGUUUAAAGUUGUAUUUUCUUUAUUUUGUAUUGUUGUCUCAAAAGGCUAAUAAUGAUGACUCUGUUUUUUCUUCAUCUUGGAGUUGUCUCUAUAUAUAGUGGUAAAGAGGAUGGUGGAUGUGUCGGAAUAUAGACAAAUUGGUAAUUUGUGAAUAUGGCCGUGAAAGAGAACUGUGUUAGUGAUUAUAAUAUUGGUUUUAAAUUAGUCAAUUAAAGUAUUUUUGUUUACAGAAUUAAGCUUAAAAAAAAAGAAGGUGAAAAUGUAGAUUCCAUUACAAGUGUUGUGGCCCCAUCAUAAUCACUCACUCUUUAAUAACGGCACGUUCUUUUAAGCUCUCAAUUUGUUUUCCAUCAUCCAUUUUCGUAUUUCUUUUUUUCUUUUUUUUUUCAUUUUCGUAUUUCAUUUAUCUCUUCUUCUUCUAUUUUUAUGCUUUUUAUUUGUCUUCAUUUAAUUUUAACAAAUAUAUCAUUAAUAUAAGAAAUAUCUCAAGAACAUGCUCCAUCUUAUGAAAAUUGGCUGUUUUAGUUUCCUUUUUAUUUCAUAUAAUAUAAUGUUAUAUAUAUUUCAGUUAGUCCUUGAAAAAAUGCUGAAGUAAAUGAAACUAAAUUCAAAUUAUAAGGAGUAAAUACUAACAAAUAAGGUUGAAAACAAUUCUUAGAUAUUUUUUGUAUAUAUGAAAACUUAAAUCAUGAAACAACAAUACUUUCAGAAUCAUUUAGUUAAGCAAUGUAAAUUUUUAACAUCGUUUGCAGCUAACGCAAAUAUAUGAAAUAAAUGAUGGUAAACAACAAAUUUUUUUGUAGUGAGCUAACCUGAAACACACAUACAAAUCUGUACUUAAUUUCUAUUCAAUAGCGAAUCUUCCACUAUCUGAUCGGUCCACCAUGAUUGGUUUAGUCAAAUUAGUUGGUAAGAGAUUAUGAUCUUCUAAAAUUUGUAUCUGCUAAAAUUUAAUGUUGGUGGAUUGCGGGAGACAAAGUCAGACAAAAUUUCUUUUAAAAUCCACUAAUUUUUUUUAGCCCGAUUUAUUGGUUCUUAUUUUAAUUUUAAUUUUUUCUCAAAUCAUUUAUUGGUUCUGUUCAUUUGAAAAAGUCAAAUUUUGUGUAAUUAAUAACCCAUUUGAGCUUGGUUUUAUUUGAGUUGAGUUACUUCCUGUUUUUUUUUUCCACUAAAAGGCAAUGAAAAUUUUAAUUGUUUUUUCUCUAUUUUUGAAUACAUUCAUAAAAAGGCCAGUUCUCUACAUUUUUCAGGAAAUUGAUGAAAAUUAAAUUAGUAUCCUGGGAGAUGUUAGUAAAAGUAGACCAGAAUGAAAAAGAGAAAAACUGAGAUGUUAGUAAAAUUAAUUAGACAUGACACCAAUAAGGAUGGUCUCAAUUUCCUCAACUUUAGCUUCCACAAUUCAACUUUAAUUUCUUCCAUUUUACCAAUUUGGUUCACAACUAAAAUCCUCAAGCAAGAAAUGCAGUUAACAAAAAAAAUUUAAAAAAAACUUCUGACUAAGUUCAAGUAUUUUGGCCUGUAAAAUAAUUUUAUAAACAUAGCGUUGUUUCAUAUUUAUAGUUAGAUAACAAAAUAUGAUCAAAGAAAAACUUAAUAAUCUUCGUUUUAUUUUCAUUUAGGGCAUCUCCAUCCCUACUCCAUUUUUUCCUCUAAAAUGAAGUAAAAGUGAAUAUGGAGUAAGGAAUGCUCCAACCCAACUCUAUAUAUCACUCCAUAAUGGAAUUUACUCCAUAAAUAGAGUAAUCUAUUUUUUGUUUGUUCAUCACUCCAUUAUAGAGUAAGAAAUGGAGUAAGGUUACAUCAAUUUUACUUCAUAUUCACUUUUACUCUAUUUUAGAAGAAAAAAUGGAGUUUUAGACCGAAGAUGCUCUUAGUAUCUUUUGGACCCAAAAAUAUGUUGUGAUUGUCAGUUUGGAAAAAUUCUAUAGUACUUGGCCUCGUAUUAUUUUUCAUAAAAGAAAACUGAAAUUAUAGAUAAACGAAGCCAUAGAGUAUGAUUAUGCAUUUGUGAAAGAAAAAAAACUUCUCGAAUCCAUCUUAAUAAUGCGUCUCUUGUGUUCCCCAAAAAAAAAAAGAUAAUGCGUCUCUAAGUAGCUAAAUCAAUUAAUCAUGUCUGCGACACCAUCGUUACCUAAUUAAAAGAUAAUGCGAAUAAGAUUUGAGAAAAUGACGUUUGGAAAAUGGUUUUUCUAAGUCGAAAUGCAUUUUAUUUUAAAGCCCCAAUUUACAUUAGAUUUUUUAUAUGUACAACUGAAUUCUAGAAUACCCAAGUUUAAGGCUAGCUAAACAUAACUAAUCCAACCAAGUCACGAUACUUUGUUUCUUUGGUCGCCUUGUAAACUAAUAAACAAAAAUGUUUAAGAUUUAAAACAAAAAUGGUCGUAUCAUUUGAUCGAUUUUUUGCAGUUUUAUUAUUACUUUAUACUAAAUAUAUUUUAAUUUCAGCAAGAAGAAAAAAACCUUGAUUGACUCGGGAAAACGGUCAUGUCCACUCUAGUACAAAUAAUUUUGUAUAGUUUGUGAAUUUUGAGAGUUGAUAGAUUUAAAAAAGUUAUGUGGAUUGUGAAAAUUUAUAUACAUUGACUUAUGAAAUUUUAUCAUAACUUUUCUAGAUUGAUAUAGAUUUUCAUGAAUUUGUAUUACCUCUUUUUAUCAUUUUUUUGUAAGAUAAAUAUAGAAUAUAUUUAUUUUCUAAAUCAUAUAACAUGAUUUUUUUAUUUUUUUGUUUUCAAAUUAAAAAAAAAAAUACUGAUACAUACAAAAUUGAACAAUUUUCUUAAAUAGCCAUUUUAAAAGAUUUUGUCACAAAAAGAAUAUUAAAAAAAGAAAAUAACCAAAAGAAGUUUCAUUAAAAAUAUAAAAGACUAUUUUACCCCUUACGGUAUAUAGAUGUAUAAGUAAUAAAAAAUAAAAAAAUAAAAAGUUGUUUUAUAUGUAUUUUUUCAAAUUCGAACAUUUUUAUAAUAUUUGUAAUUUUCCUAUUUAAAAAUAAAUAUUUUUUUCAAAUAUUUUUUUCAAAUAUUUUUUUUGAAAUUCGAAUUUUUUUGAAACUAUUUAAAAAAAUAUUUUAAAAUUAUUAAGAUUUGUAAAUGUAAUUAUUAUUCUUUAUAUUAAAAAUAUAAUAUUUUUAAAAAUAAUUAUAUGUUCAAAAAUGUAAAAGUAUAUAAAUGUAAUGAAUUAUAGUUUUGAACAUAUAAUUUGAAUUUAAGGUGCAAUAAAUAUUUGGUAAGAAUGAUUAUUUUGUUUCUUUUAGUAUUUUUAUCACAAGGAUUUUGAAAAUCACAUGGAUACAUAUAAUAUUUUGAAAGUUGAGUCUUAUGAGUAAAAAUGAAUAGAAUUCAUCUCCCAAUAACACUAGAUUUAGUUAGAAUUAGAGAAUCAAUAAUAACUAAACUUUUUUAAUAACAAGAGAUUUGAAUGGAUUUUAAAAAUUCUUAAACCAAUAAUAAUGAAUUCUACUAAGAUUUUUGAAAUCCAAAAACCAAUAAUUCUCUCAAUAACCCUCCCCCCCCCCUAGUAUUUGAAGUCAACUAGGUGGUUAGCUUGGUAGGCCGUUACACUUAGGAUGAAAUAUAUUGAGUAUAUAAGCAAACAUGUGGAGCAAGGGAUCUACUCCCUCCGUUCCAUUAAGAUAGAUUUUUCUGAAAAAAAAAGUUUAUUUUAUAAAGAUGUAUUUUUGUGUUUUCUAUGAAAAAAUUGUACACUUCAAGAAAAUUAAUUGACUUUACUGAAUUACUAUUGAUUAAAAAUUAAAAAUUACAUAAAAUAAUGCAUUUAUAAUGGUAGUUUAAUGUGUUUUCUUAAUAUGUGUAAAAAUAUUAAAAAAUCUAUCUUUGUGAAACAGAGGGAGUAUACAAUAAGAAAAUAGCAAAAGCGUUAUUUCUUCAACUACUAAGAGCAUAUUCAAUGUAAAAUUCUAUUUUUUCCUCCAAAAUAGAGUAAAAGUGAAAAUGAAAUAAAAUUGCUUCAACCCUACUCAAUUUUCCACUCCAUAAUAGAGUGAUGAACACAACAAAAAAUAGAUUACUCCAUUUAUGGAAUAAAUUUCAUUAUGGAAAGAGAUAUGCAAUUGGGUUGGAGUAUUUUUUACUCCAUAUUUACUUUUAAUCUAAUUUAGAAGAAAAAAUGGAGUAAGGAAGAAUAUACCCUAUACCGCCGAUCAGAUAAAAGAGUUGGAACGUGACUUGAUAGUAAGUGGUAUACCGUAUACGUAUCUACAAAUCAAGUUCUUGCUCAAUUUGAAUUGUUGAAUCAGACUGCUAGAAAUGUUCCAAAACAAAAACGAAUCGGACUACUAGCUCAAAAAUAAUAAUAACAACGGUGUAGUUUGAGAGCAGACCACACACAGACACACUCGAACACAUACGUAUAUACAUGUAGGAAAUAAUCGUGUAAGCAACUACGCAUGCGUUACAUAUGAAAAAGACCACCGCAAGCGUUGAAAACUUCGCUCAUUUAAAGACUCUCUUUAGUUAGUAGCAUUAAUGUGUUUAAAAAAAUUUUUAGUAGCAUUAAUAAUUAUAUUAGUAACUAAUACCAUGAGGUUAUGCUUGAUCUAUAUUAUUAUAUAUACAUACCCAUUGUUUUUCACAUUUUGUUUUUCCUUUGCUAGCUUGAAGAUUCGUUUUAAUACAUUAAAAGUUUCACACUCCAAGAUAAAUUAGUGUCGUUUUGCGAAAUGAUAUUUAUGGACGAUUUAUAGGAAAUACUUGAGUUGAAUAGUUUCAAGUUCUGAUCACGACUCUCGCUGUGUACGCAACAGUAAUUCUUAUUCCUGUUGAAAUAUUGUGGACUCACCCCAGGCUCCAAUUUACUUGUAGAUGAAAUUCAUGGGAAUGAUAAUUACAUUUUUAAAGAUCUACUGACAAUAAUAAAUUCAUUUCAGUUCGAUUUAAAGAUUUGUCUAUUGAAAAGCCGAGAAACUGUAUAUAGUCGUAGACCAAAAUAUUUCAAUGAAGAGAUCGUUCUUAUUUUAACAAACCCUCUUUUAUAGUAAUGUCAUUUUUUUUUUUUUGCUGUACAAAAUAUCGUUUUAUGCUGUCAAGGCAAUAUGUUUAACCCUAUUAAUUUAUCCUUUUAUUUACAACAACGUAAACAGAUUUAACACUCGGCUAAUCAAGAGGGGGAGUCCCUAUUAAUUUAUCUUAUUAACUGGAAAUAUACUAUUUAACAUGCAUCAUACAUUUUUCAAACUACCUCAUUCAAACUCACAAAUGGUUCCCAGUUUAACAUGUAUUGUACAAGAUUCUCUUAAAAUAUAUAAUGUAUUCAAUUCAUAGGCUGUAUAGUAUUGUUUACUCUGAAUUUUGGCACUAUCGAGUCAAUGCUACAGCUACAAUAUUGAAUCUGUUUCUUAAAUAAAACCAUAGUAAAACAUAAAUUCUUUGAUGAAAGCUAACACGGGGGACAUUGUUUUGUUUUCUUGGGCUAACCAGCUAACACGGGUUAAACAUUUAAAUCGUUUUUUUUUCAUGACACAUACGGUAUUAUAUUACAUUGUAUAACAAGAAAAGGACAAAUGUAUUAAAAUUGAAUAAACAAAGACAAUGGGUUCGGCACUGACGCGGUUACAAUAAUCUGAAGUGAGACCAAAAUUGUACAAGCAAUUAUGCAAGAGUCAACCUUCAUGCUCAUUACAUACGCAUAACUGCCCAGACCUUUUUCAUAUAGGGCCAUUUUCACGUGGUCAAUGAUGAAAAGUACGUAUGAAACAUUAUCCUAAUACAUAUGAUAUUAUAUGUAGAGCUCGGCACAAAUGCUUGAUACUCGGUUUAUACUUGCUAUUUGAUUCGGUUUGGUUUAAAAACACAAGUAUUUACUCCAAUCAAAUCGAGUAACAAGUAAACGGAUUUUAUUACUCGUAACUACAAGUCAAGUAUCAAGUUUAUUUUAAUUUUUAGCCAUUUGGUUUGUUACUUGGUUUAUUACUUGUUAUCUUUUACUAAUUCAGUUAUUUGUUAUAUAUUAUUUAGUUUAUUAAAUACUUAGUAUAUAUUUUAUUAGUUAAUUAAAAUUUAUGUAUUUUAUGAGUGGUUACAAUUGCUUGUUACUUGCCUAUGUUCACUACUUGGUUGGUUGGUAUUUGAUUUUUAAAGUUGAAUACUUGUUUUGACCAAGAUGCGUAUCAAGUAGUCUAUUUAAACUACUUGCGAAUACAUACAAAUACAAAAUCAUAAAAUAAAACUAAUUAUUUGGUUUAUUACUCAUUUUUUAGUUGAAUAAAGAUAUAUUUUUCUAAAUUAUAGUAAAACAACUCGUUUAUAUUUUUUUAUAAGUGAAUCAAACAUAAAUGAUAUAUUUAUAUAAGCAUUUUGGAAUUUUUCUUUCUUAAUAUAAUCUAUUUACGAAUGACUAAAAAAAGGAAAAACAAUGACACAAUAAAAACAAAGACAUAUUAUUUAUAUAUAAUAAAUUUAUUUACUUUUAAAUUUCAAAUAAUUAUCAAAUAAUUAUUAAAUAAUUUACCAAUAAUUAUAAAAUAAUUUACCAAUAAUUAUCAAGUAAUUUGUAAAUAAUUUACAACUAACAAGUAAUAAAACAAGACAAGUAACUAUCAAGUCUAUCAAUUUUUUCGCAAGUACUUGAAACUAUAAGUACUCGUUUUUAACAAACUAAGUAUAAGUCCUAAAUUUUAAUACUCGUACAAGCCAAGCCCAGUACUAAGUAUACCGAAAAUACCAAGUAUUCGGCUUGUGCUUACCUCUAAUUAUAUGGUCUGUCAAAUAAAAAUUACCUAUAUUUUGUAUUUCUUUGAUUUGAGUGAUUUCAACCUGUAGAUGAAGGGGAUCGCAAUGAAAAGCAGUACACCCUAGUGACAAGUGACAACUUGUUUUUAGGCUAAUAGUUGAAUAUCAAAAGUCAAGAAUAAAGUGAAAAACAAUCUAUUAAUUUUUGUAUACGGCUGGAUUUUUAAUCAUAUAACAUUUCGUACUUAUACGUCAUCUCUGUAAGUCUUUAAUCGGUUUUGUAUAAGUGUAUCGUAUACAGUAUGUAGUGUUCCAGUAAACUACAAUCAUUUGUUUCAAAUGCACACUUGUCUUGUCUAUGGAUUCGUAUUUUUUAUGAUGUUUAGUUUAAUUAUAUAAUUGACAAAGCAAGCAUCUGAACGCAAAAAAAAAAAUUAUCAUAAACGUUCAAAUAUUUGGUAUAAAUUAUGAUUUUACAGAGUUCUGUGUGACUACAAAGAUUUUUUUUGUUUUACUUCUACAAAGUAAUCAAAACUUUAAACCGUUGACGAUUAGUCCAGCUUAUGUUUUUAGUUUGAGCGAGCGGUUCACACAUUUCCUUGAUUUUAUAUGUAUGCAAUGAUUUACAAAGAAAGUGACUGGCAUAUUUUCAACCCUUCUUGUAGAAGAACAAGAAAAUACUACUAAAAAAUACAAUCAUACCACAAGGUUCAGGAGAAACCUAUACAGUAUAUAGGACUGGGCAUGAAAUCCGUAAUCUAAAAUCCGAAUCGAAUCCAAACCGAAAAACCCGAUCUGUACCUGAUCCGAAAUGUAAAAAUACCUCAAUGGAUUUUGUAGGGUGUUACAAAACAUAACCGAACCGAAAGUGUUAUUAACCGAACCCGAACGGAUAAUCUGAAAAUCCGAAAAAAUAUUCGAAGAAAUCGAUCCGAAUGUCUAUAUUAAUAUACAAUAUAAAUAUUUGAAACAUAAAUAUGUACUUCAAAUAUUCAAUUUCAUAUUUAUUUGGAUAUGAUAUCUAACAAUAAAUAUUUAAAUUUAAAUAAAUACCUUAAAUACUCCAUUAUAUACAAAGAAGUAUAUAUUUCUUAUGUUUUACUUUUAAAUUUUAGAUUUUACUUUGGAUAUAUCCGAACCGAUCUGAUGUAACCCGAAUCUGAAUGAUAUAUAUGGUUACUUCAGAUCCGAACCGAUCCGAAACCGAAGUGUUAUAUCCGAAUCCGAUCCGUACUUGUAAAUUUACUAGAAUGGGAUCUAUGAAGUGUUACAAAAUAGAACCGAAAUCCGAAAAACCCGAUCCGAACCCGAACGCCAAGGCCUAGGCUGUGAUCUUAUUAAGCUUUCUUGCAAAGUGCAGUUAAUGAUAAAAUUGCAAUCCAACAGAAGUUGAGUAUCAAUCUUUUCGCUAUUGAUUUUCAAUCAUCAAUCUUUUUUGUUGGAAACACACUAAUCAUGAUGUGGUUUCUUCCCAAGUAUAUGGCUCUUUUUAGGAAACAUAAAAUAAUACUCAUUACAAAAUUAGCAUAAUCUGAUUUAAGUUUCAAUAAAUACUGCUUUACAUUGUAAACGUACCGAUAGUAUUAUUCGUUGUCCGCAUUUAACUUUAUGAUAAUGUUUUUUUUUUGUAAAACUUUACAAUAAUGUUGUAUUGAUUAAAUAGAGGCAUCGAUCUAUUCAAAUAUUUCAAGGUUUUUCUAAAAAUAAGUUUUCAGAACCCUCAUGUGUCAUCUAUAAUUGAUUUUUUUUUUUUUGGUUACCUUUUUGAAUCUAAUAAUCUAAGGUUUAUUUAAAUUAAAGAUAAUAUUUACUGCCUUGCAAAUUUUUAAAAAAUUUAUAAUUUGUUUAUUUUAUUAGGCUAUAUUAAGUGUAUUAUUAUAUAUUCUAUCUCAAUUACUAUAUAUAUAUAUAUAUAUAUAUAACAUCUCAUUAAGGUAUCCAAACCUACCCCAAGGAGGAAAAAGAUAUAAAAUUAUGAUCGUGGCAAUGAAAAAGGCAAGAAACUGGUGUCAGCUUUUUGUAAUGCACAUCAAAGAUCCGAUCAGUAUUAUUUUAGGUGUGAUUUAUAAUGCUAGCUUUUGAUAUUUUUGGGUCGGUUGGUGUUCUUGUCCGAUGAUGUUCUUGCCCACAUUUUAGUACCAUACCCCCCAACCACAAUGUUAUAUUGCUUCUUUUUCUUUCUGAUUUCGGGUAUAACAACGCAACAUCCCUUUAAAAUAUAGAACAUGAUUAUGUGAAAAAAAUGAUUUUGAUUCUACUAAAUCAUCAACCAAUAUUCUCUGGGGACAAAUUAUGAAACUCUUACAGAAGCUGGUAGAACAAAUUUAUAAUUGACAAAACAAUAUUAUCUUAAGUAUACGCACCUGAUUAAAUAUCACAUUUUAUUUACAUUAGCUCACUAGUCUGAUUUGUAAAAAGGAUCAGUGACUUGUGUUUUAGUCAAUUUCGCCAUCUAUAUUGCUUUCACCUGCCAUUUAAAACAUCACUAAUUCACUACACCUUUCACCACAAACAAGAUGGGAAUCAAGUUGUCGGGUUUUGCAUAUUAAUAAAUUACAGAAUUCCUAAAUGCUAAAGAAAACGCACUACACAUUCUACCCUAAGAAAACUUAAAAGCAACCAAAUAACAUUAACAUAAUAUUAAACCAAAUAGAAUAAUAAUGUAUAUAUACAUUUUUAUUUGUAUAAAUGCAUAGUAUCACGUGAAUCACGUUGUAAAUGCAGUAAAAGCGCAUUACGUUUAGAUGUGGAUGCAUUUAGCCCGUUUAAGUUAAUUUUAGAGUUGAUUAUGUCGACGAGUACGUUAACCAGUGUAUCAGAUAAUAAGUGGGAGUAGUUUAAUAAACCAUAAAGUGAGAGGAAGAGGAUCGCAAUGCGUCACGUUUUAGCAAUACAAAUGGUAUGGGAGAGAAGAAGAAGUGCGAGUCGUUUUCACCAAUCCACUAAAAGUGAUUCUAAGUCAAAAUAUUCAAAAAAGCGAGUGCGAUUACGUUUAUCCAACGCCCAACGCGUUUCCAUUACCUUUUUCACCUUUCUCUUAAUUUUCUCCAUAUUUUUGGUGGAACAUUUUUUUGUGACAAUUUGAUUAUUGCUAAAAAUUAUAUACUACUAUAGAUGGGAACGUAGUCUAAAUUAAAUGUAUUUUACAAUGUAUAUACGUGUUUAGUCUGUCGUUUACUUAAGAAGUUAAGAUGACAAGUUGGAAAGUUAAUGAGCGGAUGCCCUUCAGAAAAUGGUGAAAAUAAAAGUAAAAAAUAGGUUUAUCUAUUGCAAAAAGCGAUAGAACCUUCGACAUGUGCUUUCUCUGCAACUUUUUAUAAUAAAGACUCAAUUUGCCUGUUUCAGGGUACGUUUCUACAGUUGUCCAAUAAGACCACCACUUGUUAGAGCCUUUUUAUUUCCAUUUAUUUAUGUUCAUCUUAUGCGUCUAAGAAAAAAACACUUAAAUGGUAUUGCAACCGAAAGUGUAUACCAAGUAUAAAUACCCUUCAGUCAGAGAUCUCUAGCAUCAAAAUUCAUAAAUAUUAUUGAUAUAAAUUUUACCAAAAAAGAUAAUAGGUCCAAUGAAAUGUUGCGAAUAUAUGCUUAAAAGUAAGGUUAUAUUUUCUAAUAUGCAGUUUGAAAUAGAACGGGUAGCAAUGUUCUAUUAUGGUUGAACACGAAACAUAAGCACGACGUUUUCUUUCUUUUUUUUUUCUUUUUUCUUUAACAUAAGCACGACGUUAUCUAGUAUGUUAGGCAUAACCCGCAUGACCUAAUGUAAAAUAUCGAACCUUUGAAUUAUUAAAUACAUAUAUUUCCAAAACACAAUACAAAACCAAUACGUUGUUCGUUAGGCCCCAUAUGAGAUAUGACCCGGCAUAAUCGGGUCAAAAAGACUCCAAAAUCUACUGGGUUUUAAAUAUAUCCUAGAGAAUUUCUUGUUAACAAAGUUGGCGUGUAGAGAUAAUGCUGAGAGAUAGAGUAGAUUGGUCCAUAUUUUGAUUGAUACUCUUGUAUAUGAAAAUGUCACUAAAGAUAUAUACAACCACACUUACAAAUGAUGAGUAGUGAGUGGAAGUUCGAGUUGUAUAAAUUUGAAAUUCGAACAAAUAUUAAAAUUGUAAAUAACCAUUUUAAAUUGCAUGUUGAUAAGAUUCUAACUUUUAUGAUAUUUAAAUCUUAGCUAUGCUCAUUUAUCUCAAUCGCCGCAUAGCAAGCGAUAAAGAGUUUAUUAGAUCGGUGACUUGUAUACGGUUGUAUCUGAUCAUCCAUUUGAAAAUUCUUGAAUUAUUAUAUUAUUAAGAUCAUUAUCGUUAUUGCUAUUAGUAAGUGCCCUGAUUUAGUAAUAAAAUUAACAAUACCAAACGAACAUGUUCUUGAUUCCUAAAGUGAUGGUUGAUAUAUGUUUACUUCAGUCUUUUAUGGAAUCACUUCACCUUUCACUUUAAUGGUUUUAGUAUCAUGAAUUCUUUUUGACAGCCGAAAAGCUAGUUCUAAUAAUUUCAUUUUCCUAAUGUUCUGAUGCUUGCCCUAAUUAUUGUCUCUCUGAAUAAUCAAGACCACAGAAAAUUUAAUCACUUUGCACUUAUCUGAUUUAUUUUAUCUAAAGGUGAAUCCACAUGUCGAGUUAUAAUUAGUAAUUAUUGUGUUGUAUAGUGCAUACUCCAUUAAGACUGGUCCAAAAACUCUAUGCUUCGCUGCCGUCCUUGGUCCAGUUUGAUGAAGAACAAAUUCUUAAGCAACUAUAAUUAUCAAUCAAAUCGAUUACAUGAAAGUAAAAUUUGUUUAAAUCACAAAGGAAGCAAUGUAUUUAUUUAAGAAAUGCGUGUAACUUUCACGUGCAAGCACUUCCAGAGGUUCAAAAUGUAAUGGAACAAUGCUUUUAUUUUUUUUGGACGUCCAGUAAUGGUACAAUGCUAGUUUAGGUUUCUUAACUCGUUUUUCCUUUUUCGUUUCUUUAUUCUAUAGCUUUAUGUUUGUUCCAAUUGAAAAUGUGGUCGUUGUUUUGUCAACAAAAAUCUGGUCUUUUCUAAUAUCACGAAAACGAUAUGUUUUAACAUAUCUCGUACUGUGUGACAAAAAGGAACAUAUAUAACUUGUACUAAUUGUUAUAAUAAAGUCCGAUGUGUUGUUCUUCAACUUUGAAUAUGUGCCACUAUUAGUUAAUUUGUAUAACAAACUCAUAAAAUAUAGUGUCUGUAAUCUAUCCAUACGAGUCAGCACUACGUGACUAAUUUGAAUUAUAGUUACAUAAUCGAAAACUUAGACGAAAAUAUGCGGAUCUCCAAAACGUAGAAGUAAUAGGUUCAAAUGUUUUGAUUUUCCGACAUCAACUAUAUAUGGUUUUAUGUAAAGUUCCACCCUACUUCUAAUAUAUGUGUAUUUCAAUUACAUAUGUUGAUAUGUUUGCUGUUUGUCUGAAGAUCAGUUUGUCAAGUUUAAUAAAAAAACAUUUGGUUAACACAUGACCUGAGUUUUCACCCUCUGAUAUAAAAGUAUAUAAUUGUUUUUUCCUCUAUACAAAAGUAUAAAACACUUCCAACUUGUACAAGUAAUGGAAUACUGAAUAUCAUGUCACUAUAACUUUAAAUUAAAGCAAAGUGUAGGAGCAAAGAACCAUGAAUAGUAAACAUAUUGUAAUUAAAUAUGUUUGAAAACGGAUUGUAACGAAUAUUAAGAUCAAUAGAGUACUGGUAGUAGUAGCAACAGGCAGCAGCAGUGAGGUCCAGUCAAAAUCAUUUCCAAGAGAAAGUGAUCGUGACGAAUUACAGACAAAGUGAUCGGAAUAUUUAAAAAAAAAGAAGAAGAAGAGAGGAUUACGAAUAAGUAUGGUAAGUUUUGAACCCAUUGUUUCUCAGUGGAGAAUUUUAAUUAAUAAUAUUAAAAAUAAAUAUUGAUUUCAAAUGAAAUUAUAGGCCAAUUUUUUUCGCUUUCUAGGUGUACGUUAAUACGGAUUUGUAAAGUUUUUGUACGAGUAAUCAGUUCAUCGAUCUAU